AUGAGAUUGCUCAACAAAUUAUGUAGAUUCCUCUUGCGAAAAGUCCUCAUAACGACCUUUAAGUGUGGAAAGGAGAACCGUCUGGAGAAUUUACUGUCAAAAGUGCCUACAAACUAUUUCAAGAAGCUAUCUUGGAUCCUAGUUAUUAUUUUAUACAGGCCGACUCAAAGAAAUUCUACAAAAAAACUUUGGAAUCUAGGACUACCCUCAAAAAUACUGGUUACAAUAUGGAGAAUUACAUGGAACUAUAUUCCAACUAGGGAUUUAAAUAGCAGUCCGAUACGGCUAUAGCGACGCUAUAUAGCAGUAGCGGCGCCGUCCGAAACCGUUACUAUUGAAAAUAACAGUGUGAAGCGGAGUCCCACUGAUAGCGGUGGGUUGCGGCUACAAUUUAACGGGUAAUGGCCAGUUGCGGCAAUAACAGGCCGCUAUUCCCGUUAUUUUCCGUUGCAGUAAAUUAAAAAAAAUCCAUCUCCUCUAGACAAAAAUCAACAAAAACAGUGAAACACAAUAAAACAAAAGGGAAUAUAUUCUCCUGCCUGUAAAACCAGAGUGUUUUCAAUCAAAAAAAGAAAAAUGAAGACCAAAUAAAUAGAAAAAGCAAUCAAAAUUCAAAACUAAAAAUGAAAACCAAAUAAAUAGAAAAAGCAAUCAAAAUUCAAAACUCAAAAGCAAUAGAAAAUAUGAAAUUCUAUUUCUCAUAUUUCGGUCCCUAAACUCUAAACCAAACGGCAAACAAAGCAAACCCUGAUCACUUUCACAUUCAGAGAUUGAAAAUUUUCAAGUAAGUACCUAAAAUUUUGUCUUGAUUCUUGGCUUCUUGCUUGUUUUUGCAAUGCAAAUAUGUUCUUUAGAGUUUAGACUUUAGGUUAGGGAUGAAGGGAGAAGUUACAACCAGCAUAUUCCAAGAAUUUGAUAGAGUUUUGAGAGGAUAUGAGUUUUAAGAGGAUGAUAGACUUUAGGCCUCUUCAGUUUUUCUUUCUAAGUUUUCUGCCGUUUGAUUUCUUUUUUUCUUUAUUUUUUUCAUUUUUAUUUUCCUUUCCUCCUAGCCAAAACCAAGGCACUGUCUAG
rnacentral:lncRNA from 1 species